rnacentral:rRNA from 1 species
GAUGAACGCUGGCGGCGUGCCUAAUACAUGCAAGUCGAGCGAACAGACGAGGAGCUUGCUCCUCUGACGUUAGCGGCGGACGGGUGAGUAACACGUGGAUAACCUACCUAUAAGACUGGGAUAACUUCGGGAAACCGGAGCUAAUACCGGAUAAUAUAUUGAACCGCAUGGUUCAAUAGUGAAAGACGGUUUUGCUGUCACUUAUAGAUGGAUCCGCGCCGCAUUAGCUAGUUGGUAAGGUAACGGCUUACCAAGGCGACGAUGCGUAGCCGACCUGAGAGGGUGAUCGGCCACACUGGAACUGAGACACGGUCCAGACUCCUACGGGAGGCAGCAGUAGGGAAUCUUCCGCAAUGGGCGAAAGCCUGACGGAGCAACGCCGCGUGAGUGAGGAAGGUCUUCGGAUCGUAAAACUCUGUUAUUGGGGAAGAACAAAUGUGUAAGUAACUAUGCACGUCUGGACGGUACCUAAUAAGAAGGCCACGGCUAACUACGU